rnacentral:rRNA from 1 species
AGGAUGAACGCUGGCGGCGUGCCUAAUACAUGCAAGUCGAGCGGUAAGGCUACUUCGGUAGUACACGAGCGGCGGACGGCUGAGUAACACGUAGGAACGUACCCCAAAGUGAGGCAUAAGCACCAGAAAUGGUGUCUAAUACCGCAUGUGAUCUUCGGAUUAAAGCUUCGGCGCUUUGGGAACGGCCUGCGCAUGAUUAGCUUGUUGGUGAGGUAAUAGCUCACCAAGGCGACGAUCAUUAGCUGGUCUGAGAGGAUGACCAGCCAGACUGGGACUGAGAACGGCCCAGACUCCUACGGGAGGCAGCAGUAGGGAAUUUUCCACAAUGGGCGAAAGCCUGAUGGAGCAACGCCGCGUGCAGGAUGAAGGCUCUCGGGUCGUAAACUGCUUUUAUAUGUGAAGAUUAUGACGGUAGCAUAUGAAUAAGGAUCGGCUAACUCCGCGCCAGCAGCCGCGGU